UAACAGGGGUAGCUUGCUACCCGCUGACGAGCGGCGGACGGGUGAGUAAUGCAUAGGAAUCUGCCCGAUAGUGGGGGAUAACCUGGGGAAACCCAGGCUAAUACCGCAUACGUCCUACGGGAGAAAGGGGGCUCCGGCUCCCGCUAUUGGAUGAGCCUAUGUCGGAUUAGCUAGUUGGUGAGGUAAUGGCUUACCAAGGCAACGAUCCGUAGCUGGUCUGAGAGGAUGAUCAGCCACAUCGGGACUGAGACACGGCCCGAACUCCUACGGGAGGCAGCAGUGGGGAAUAUUGGACAAUGGGGGCAACCCUGAUCCAGCCAUGCCGCGUGUGUGAAGAAGGCCCUCGGGUUGUAAAGCACUUUCAGCGAGGAAGAACGCCUAUCGGUUAAUACCCGGUAGGAAAGACAUCACUCGCAGAAGAAGCACCGGCUAACUCCGUGCCAGCAGCCGCGGUAAUACGGAGGGUGCAAGCGUUAAUCGGAAUUACUGGGCGUAAAGCGCGCGUAGGUGGCUUGAUAAGCCGGUUGUGAAAGCCCCGGGCUCAACCUGGGAACGGCAUCCGGAACUGUCAGGCUAGAGUGCAGGAGAGGAAGGUAGAAUUCCCGGUGUAGCGGUGAAAUGCGUAGAGAUCGGGAGGAAUACCAGUGGCGAAGGCGGCCUUCUGGACUGACACUGACACUGAGGUGCGAAAGCGUGGGUAGCAAACAGGAUUAGAUACCCUGGUAGUCCACGCCGUAAACGAUGUCGACCAGCCGUUGGGUGCCUAGAGCACUUUGUGGCGAAGUUAACGCGAUAAGUCGACCGCCUGGGGAGUACGGCCGCAAGGUUAAAACUCAAAUGAAUUGACGGGGGCCCGCACAAGCGUGGCAGCAUGUGGAUUUAUUCGAUGCAACGCGUAGACCUUACCUACCCUUGACAUCUACGGAGCAGGAGAGAUUCUGGUGUGCC
rnacentral:rRNA from 1 species